rnacentral:rRNA from 1 species
AUGGGUAGUACAAACUGUGCAAUUUUAAGUUGGAACAUCAGGGGUCUGAACAUGCCAGCCAGGCAAACUGCUGUGCGACAGAUAGCAGAAGCGCAGCGGGCAAGCAUUCUCUGUCUGCAGGAGACUAAGCUAGAAUCUUGGACACCUAGUGUUGUUAGAGAGCUGGGAGGAACCAAAUUGGAAGGGUGUACCGUCCUACCAGCGAUUGGAACUAGAGGAGGCAUUGUUGUUCUUUGGGACAAGAGUACGGUCAGUUUUGUGACACACGCAGUCGGAAAUUUCUCAAUCACCGGAAAAGUGUCCCUGAUCCUGGACAUACUUGAUUUCUGGCUCACAACUGUCUAUGGGCCAGUGGACGACACGAGAAAAGAUGACUUCCUUGCUGAAAUGGCUCAUGCUGCACCACCACAAGGAGAACCCUGA